rnacentral:rRNA from 1 species
GAGUUUGAUCCUGGCUCAGGAUGAACGCUAGCUACAGGCUUAACACAUGCAAGUCGAGGGGCAGCAUGGUCUUAGCUUGCUAAGGCCGAUGGCGACCGGCGCACGGGUGAGUAACACGUAUCCAACCUGCCGUCUACUCUUGGACAGCCUUCUGAAAGGAAGAUUAAUACAAGAUGGCAUCAUGAGUCCGCAUGUUCACAUGAUUAAAGGUAUUCCGGUAGACGAUGGGGAUGCGUUCCAUUAGAUAGUAGGCGGGGUAACGGCCCACCUAGUCUUCGAUGGAUAGGGGUUCUGAGAGGAAGGUCCCCCACAUUGGAACUGAGACACGGUCCAAACUCCUACGGGAGGCAGCAGUGAGGAAUAUUGGUCAAUGGGCGAGAGCCUGAACCAGCCAAGUAGCGUGAAGGAUGACUGCCCUAUGGGUUGUAAACUUCUUUUAUAAAGGAAUAAAGUCGGGUAUGGAUACCCGUUUGCAU